rnacentral:rRNA from 1 species
AUUGAACGCUGGCGGCAUGCCUUACACAUGCAAGUCGAACGGUAACGCGGGGCAACCUGGCGACGAGUGGCGAACGGGUGAGUAAUGUAUCGGAACGUGCCCAAUAGUGGGGGAUAGCCCGGCGAAAGCCGGAUUAAUACCGCAUGAGACCUGAGGGUGAAAGCGGGAGAUCGCAAGACCUCGCGCUGUUGGAGCGGCCGAUGUCAGAUUAGGUAGUUGGUGGGGUAAAGGCCUACCAAGCCUGCGAUCUGUAGCUGGUAUGAGAGGAUGACCCGCCACACUGGGAAUGAGACACGGCCCAGACUCCUACGGGAGGAAGCAGUGGGGAAUUUUGGACAAUGGUCGCAAGCCUGAUCCAGCCAUGCCGCGUGCGGGAAGAAGGCCUUCGGGUUGUAAACCGCUUUUGUCAGGGAAGAAAUCUUCUGGGUUAAUACCUCGGGAGGAUGACGGUACCUGAAGAAUAAGCACCGGCUAACUACGUGCCAGCCGCCGCCGUAA